rnacentral:rRNA from 1 species
UACAGAGGGGGCAAGCGUUGUUCGGAAUUACUGGGCGUAAAGGGCGCGUAGGCGGCCUGUUAAGUCGAACGUGAAAUCCCCGGGCUCAACCCGGGAACUGCGUCCGAUACUGGCAGGCUUGAAUCCGGGAGAGGGAUGCGGAAUUCCAGGUGUAGCGGUGAAAUGCGUAGAUAUCAGGAGGAACACCGAUGGCGAAGGCAGCUCGCUGGGACGGUACUGACGCUGAGGCGCGAAAGCGUGGGGAGCGAACAGG